rnacentral:precursor_RNA from 10 species
AAGGAGGGAACUAACCAGCUCGUUGAGGGUUUCAAGUGAGGUCAGUGCUGCUCGAUUUUUUUCAGCAGCUGUACUGUCUUCGUUUGAUAUCAGCUGCCGAGCGUUUUCGUCGUAAUUCAU